CCAUACCAUACCACACACCACACUAUACUAUACCAUACCAUACCACACACCAUACCACACCACACACCAUACCACACACCAUACCACACAACACACCAUACCACACACCAUACCACACACCAUACCACACCACACACCAUACCACACCAUACUAUACUAUACCAUACCAUACCACACACCACACUAUACUAUACCAUACCAUACCACACACCAUACCACACCACACACCAUACCACACACCAUACCACACAACACACCAUACCACACACCAUACCACACCACAC
rnacentral:lncRNA from 1 species